GAUCCUGGCUCAGGAUGAACGCUAGCUACAGGCUUAACACAUGCAAGUCGAGGGGCAGCAUGGACCCAGCUUUGCUGGGUUUGAUGGCGACCGGCGCACGGGUGAGUAACGCGUAUCCAACCUGCCCCUUUACUCCCGGGAUAGUCGUCCUGAAAGGGAGUUUAAAUACCGGAUGUGUUUGUCUUUCCGCAUGGGAGCGACAAAUAAAGAUUGAUUUGGUAAAGGAUGGGGAUGCGUCCCAUUAGCUUGUUGGG
rnacentral:rRNA from 1 species